CCUACGUGUGGCAGCAGUAGGGAAUAUUGCUCAAUGGGGGCAACCCUGAAGCAGCAACGCCGCGUGGAGGAUGAAGGUUUUCUGAGUGUAAACUCCUUUUGAUAGAGAAGAGAAUGACGGUAUCUAACGAAUAAGCACCGGCUAACUCCGUGCAAGCAGCCGCGGUACGACGGAGGGAGCAAGCGUUACUCGGAAUCACUGGGCGUAAAGAGUGCGUAGGCGGUCUCGAAAGUCAGAUGUGAAAUCCUAUGGCUUAACCAUAGAACUGCAUGUGAAACUGUUAUUCUAGAGUAUGGGUGCGGUAGGUGGAAUUCUUGGUGUAGCGGUCACCUCCUUAGACAUCAUG
rnacentral:rRNA from 1 species